UACGGAGGGGGCUAGCGUUGUUCGGAAUUACUGGGCGUAAAGCGCACGUAGGCGGCUUUGUAAGUUAGAGGUGAAAGCCCGGGGCUCAACUCCGGAAUUGCCUUUAAGACUGCAUCGCUAGAAUUGUGGAGAGGUAAGUGGAAUUCCGAGUGUAGAGGUGAAAUUCGUAGAUAUUCGGAAGAACACCAGUGGCGAAGGCGGCUUACUGGUCCGGUUCUGACGCUGAGGCGCGAAAGCGUGGGUAGCAAACAGG
rnacentral:rRNA from 1 species